UCAGUCGAGCUUCGCUGACUGAGCUGAACGGGCGCUACUGCGCACUGUCGCUACUGCGCAUGCGCCGGCGAGCAACACGUUACUUGCCGAACGCGAGCACGCGCGGGUGAGGCACUGCCGUCCGUGACCCAGUGUGGAAGCGAGGUCGUUUGCCAGUAUUCCCUGAGCGACGCGACGAAAGCGAAACGCCGUUUCCUCCCUCCUCACCCCUCCCCCUACACUGGCGACCAUGUGCUCGCAAGGACGCGGCAACUUGCCAAGCGCGACCGUGAUGAGCUGAGUGUGUGUACGAGAGGCCAGAAGGCGGCAGUCAGCUGUUUCCCGUCGUACCACGCGCGCCACCUGCCUCUGGCUAGUAUGUGCAAUCAACAGGCGGGCUGUGUUGUGUCGUGACACGCGGCCACCGGGCCCCUAUUCUUGAGCGCUGCUGAUCGCGGGACUGUGUUAUCAGUCUAGCGCGCCGCGGCGUCCAGUGGUUGCUGUGCUACCGGCACCUUGAACAAGUGCUUCCCGCCGACCGCCAAGUGGUCGCGAGCGCGCUUUGUUGUCGGUCCCGUUCUCGCGGCCGCCUCUGGGAUAUCGACCCGACCGAGGGCGGCGUCGGCCGGCCUUCCUCGCAAGACCACGUGCUCUACUCACACGCACAGAUUUCUGGCGUGCCUGUUGCACCUUCUCUGCAACUAGAAGGCCGGGGCAGGACAGUUCAUGAUUUACUGUGCGUUCCUGCAAGGACAUAGGAUAGGCUGAUAAACCAGUUUAAGAGCUGCAGCGUCAGCGGCCGCGUCCAGCGCCCCCGGCCGCGGCAGCGCCAGCGCCUCCGC